AUGGAUCAAACCAGUGGACAUGUGUCAGACGCUGGAGGCUCGACUGAGGACCAGACUGCAGAGAGUCCAAAACUACCAAAGUCCAGGUCAGGCCCCGAGUGCCUCGGCCUGUCUCGCUGCGCCGCCUGCUACAACCACAAGACGAGCUCCAUGUCUCGUCGCGGCGACAACGGGGAGUCCAGCUCCUCGGCCGAAGACUCCGGUCCGGAGGUGGACUACGAGUCGGAGGCGGAGUCGAGCUCCAGCAGCAGCAGCAGCAGCAGCAGCAGCUGCUCUGAGCCUGAGAGGCCCGAAGGUCUUCUUGUUCCUCUUGUCUCUGAAGAGACUGGCGAGAGGAGCUCACCACAGAGCGGAGAUGCUGCUGAGCCUGAAUCCAGAGGAGAGGACGCGGGAGAGACGUCGGAGCGGCAGCGAGACAAGAGGAACAGGAUGAUUCAAAAAGCGCCGCUUGUCAAAUCCUUCUCCCAGCCUUCCUCCCUUGCUCCUCGCCCCGACCCUCUCUCCUUCCUGCCCCGCCCUCCGAGGAUCGUCUCCACCCUCCUCCUGCAAGGUGUUGCCCGAGACCUGCGGCGACGCCGCCGUCUUCAACAUCCGCCAACAUCAGCCUGUGAGAGAGGACGAGAAGACGGAGGAGAGUUACGGAGGAGGAGGAGGAGGCAGCAUCAACAAUCUGCUGCUUCCACAACCACUUCAGUGCCAGCAGAUGCGGUUUCCAGGGCAACCAACAUUACAGCAUCACCAGCAUCAUCAACAACAACAACAACAACAGCAGCAGCAGCAGCAGCAGAUGUCAUAUCAAUACCAACAACAACCUCAACAUCUUCCUCCCCUCGCAGCUCAAGGUCAAAGGUCACCACCACCCUCACGCCACCCGGCAAUGCCAACACCCCUGUGGGCACCAAACGCACCCUGGACGGAUCCGAACGCGCUCACUCCACAACCGUGCUGGAUCUGUUACCGCGUUCACCUUCCCUACACAAACUGCACUCCUUAACGGAGUGGACACUGUAA
rnacentral:lncRNA from 1 species